GGAAGGGAGACGCAGCAUGUGAUACCUGACGCAGGCAGGCAGACCGGCGGGGCGGGGCGGGAAGCGCUGGUGGUGCCGGCGAUGGGCGCCCCCUCCCGUCUCACAGAGGCCGCCGAGUUCCGUCAAGUCUGACUACCAUGAAGAUGCAUUGAAAAUUCUGCUACACUGGAGGAGUGAAGUAUCCCAUUCAGUUGGUGAUCUUCCUGUCAUGGAAGUUGCUUGCCAGCUCUAAUUUUGAGUGAACACAGUAAACACAAUGGUGAAAAUAUCAAUUAAAGAA